CUCCCGCGGCAGGCGGGAGCGGGGAUGGCCGCCUGCAGUUUUGUCCCGCCCGCCGCCCCCGGGGGCCCUGCGGGACCCCUGCUGCUGCCCCGGUAGAGUCCCGGCCGGGGCUACUCCUCCCUUCACCCCCUCCACCCUCGGCUGAUCCCUUCCCUUCCUGCCGUGCUGGAGGACACGGUGCAGGAGCGUGCCAUCAGAGGAGUACAAGAUCUGGAAGAAAAGCACCCUCUUCUUGUAGGACCUCGAGAUGGCCCACGCCCUGGAGUGGCCCAGCCUCGCGGUGCAGUGGCUGCCCGAUGUGAGCAGAAUUUGGUGGCUUUGGAUCUGUGACUGGCAGAAUUGAGAUGGAGAUUAAAACUAAAAUUAACCACGAGGAUGAAGUGAACUGUGCCUAUUACAUGUUGCAGAAUCCCUGCAUCAUUGCAGCAAAAACACCCUCUGCCGAUGUGCUGGUGUUUGACUACACUAAACAUCCUUCAAAACCAGACCCAAGUGGAGAGUGUAAUCCUGACCUUAGAUUAAGAGGACGCCAGAAGGAAGGCUAUGGCUUGUCAUGGAACUCAAAUUUGAGUGGACAUCUUCUCAGUGCAUCAGAUGAUCAUGGAAAAACCACAUCUUUUCUCCUGUUUAAAAAAGCCCAACUCCUAAUUUAUGCUGUAGUAGAAAAUUGGAGAAAAUCUGUCCUAGUGCAGCUGUGUAUUGUUAUGUGGGGAAGCUCUCACAUUUUGUAAUUACAUUUCUAAAGGCUGUCACUUGGCUUUAGGCUGUAAUCAACUAUGAGUUCUUUUUAAACUUCUUGAUGUAAGAACAGAAUGUUUUUAUAGUUGUCUGCCAGAAGAAGUCCUUUAAACUGGAUUGCGUCAAGACCAUAGAUUAAUAAAACUCUCUAAGAUCAAUAACUAAUAUCUUAUAAAUUUCUUUGUGGAGUUUAAAAGUGUAAAUUGCUUUUGUGACCUUCUAAAUAAUCCUUGGGCCUUGAACUUGCAGAAAACUGAUUGAUAACUAAGCUCUCAGUUCUGGCAUAAUAAGUGUUCUUUUUCAAAAGCAAAGAACUGCUUUGGGAGUGGCAUCUCUUUAAAUGUGGAGUGCGAUUGAUUAUUUGUUUGAAAGAUGAUAACAAUCAGAGUCUGCAUUUCAUAGAAUGUGGCCUAUUUACAGACAGUGUGUUUAUGGGAUGUAAGUGCUGGACCCAAAGAGGGCAAGAUUUGUUGAUGCAAAAGCCAUCUUUACCGGGCACUCCACAGUAAUGGAAGAUGUGGCAUGACACCUGCUCCAUGAGUCUCUGUUUGGAUCCGUGGCAGAUGAUCAGAAGCUUAUGAUGUAAGUUAGGAGAUUUUUGAGUAGGGCGUGCUGUGUCCUGCUGAUGCCUUUUUUCAACCUAGAAAUGAAACAGCACACACUUUCGAGAUCGAGAUAUUACCUCCCAAUAAUAUAAUAUGGGAGGUAAUAUAAAAGUGGAUCUUUAUUGGAGGUCUGCUGGGCAGUUAUAGAAGAAUGUCCACAAAAGGCCACACCCCCAGGGGUGCGUACAGUUUUAUAAGUUUAGUAAAUUAGCAAAAUUGACAAAAAAGCACCAAUUAGGAGGACAAGUGGUGAUGCAAUUACACCCCAGUUGAAGCCCCUUCUCUGGAGUCCCCCCCCCUUGGUACUGGCUGUACUUUGUUUAUGAAAAUGUGUCUCAAUGAGGUGUUUUCAACCUUGGUAGCCAGGAAGAACCAAGGUAGGAUAAGGGCCCUUGGAAUAUGUUUUGUCUUUCUUCCUAAGGAAAGGGCAUGGAAAACUACUAGGAAAACUAGCCACUAAUAUGAUAGACUAUAAAUGUAUGUGUAAAGAAUACAGAGAAUAUAUAAAGGAAAAAAAAAAAGUAAAAACCAAAAUCACUGCCUGUGGACCUAGUCCACAGCACUUGGAAAAAACAAAAAAGUCUGAGUUUUGGAGUGAUUUCAUGUAGCUCUUUAUGGCAAUCAGCUACAGUGAUGGUGCAGAUUCACUGAAAUCUACAUGCCUUUUAAUGUUCACAUCACUUGAAAAGAAGAUGUAGCUAGUAUGUAUGUUAGAUUCCUGGUGCAAGCUGUUCAUGUAAAACAGACACUAUGUAGGUUUUGGAAUGAAAAUUGUAGCUUCAGAGUUGAGUUUAAUAACAAAAGCUGUAGUGAAAAGAAACUUCCUAUAAAAACUUAAGUUUGUUUGCUUUCCUUCUUUCCUCCCUGUCCCCAACCCUUCCCAAACCCUUCACUGCCACAGCUGGGACACAAGAUCUAAUGCCAUAUCCAAGCCGAGUCACUCAGUAGAUGCUCACACAGCUGAGGUCAUCUGUUUGUCCUUCAAUCCUUACAGCGAGUUCAUUCUGGCAACUGGCUCUGCUGACGAGGUUUUCACUUGAGUAUGCUUUACAUUCCUAAGUAGUGCAGAUGAAAGCCAUUAUAGUAAAACCAGCUUCCUGUUGCUUGUGUCUCCCAGACGGUGGCUCUGUGGGAUCUUCAAAACUUAAAGCUGAAACUCCAUUCCUUUGAGUCUCAUAAGGAUGAGAUUUUUCAGUUUAUUCAUGGAGGACACAAUUCCAAAAUUUCAAACUUCUCUGGGAAUCCUAAUGAGCCUUGGGUAAUCUGUUCUGUAUCAGAGGACAGCAUAAUGCAGAUAUGGCAGACGGCAGAAAACAUUUACAGUGAUGAAGAACCAGAUAUAACAGCAGCUGACCUGGAAGCUCAAGGAAUGUAACUUUUCUUCUUUCAGGAACUACUGGGAAUGACAUAGUAAUAUAAUUUGACUACUGUAUACGUAAAAUAAAGCCCUCAAAAAAACCCCUCCAAAACCAAAUAUGAAACAAAAACCCCACAAACACUGGUGUGAUAUAUGUCCUAAAGUUAAUUUGUGUUAAAAGAUAUAAGAUGUAAUUCACCCCCUAUAAAUAUAAGUUUUAUUUCUAAUCAAGUGUACUACAUGUUAACUGAGACGAAAGCUGCACGGAGAGGGGUACAAGGAAUUUCUUUUGCCAGAAAUUACACAGGAGGGACACAAGAAACUAUGCUAAGAAUUACAGGAAAAGGGACACGAGGAUACCUCUGCCGGGAAUCGUUAAAAGGAAAACAAAGACAACGGAAAAGGGAGAUGGAGAACCUGGAGAACCAAAUGUUUACAUCAGAUCGAUAUCUCAUCCAUCUCCUCCCGACAUUAGCACCUCUACACAGCACCUGGACACAACAAUCAAAGACAUUGUCUUCCUGGGCAAAUCCAUUCAAAGACACCAGAACCCGAACAUGAAUGUCUAAUGAGGCUGCCUCGGAAGAGGGAACCUCGGACUCCCGAGUUUCUCUCAGCGAUCCCGUGUAUAAAAAGAGACGGCUCCAAGCCAGAAAUGUGAACUUGGGGGGUGACAUACUGACUGAGUGUGUUACCGCGUUCACCCAGCGCUGAUCCCAGGCUCGACGCUGUCCUUUUAAUUGUGGCUUUCAGAGACUGUCAUUUUG